rnacentral:misc_RNA from 1 species
CGCACAUUGCGCCCGCCAGUAUUCUGGCGGGCAUGCCUGUCUGAGCGUCAUUUCAACCCUCCGCGUGACAUUCGUGUCCCAGCGGCUGUUGGGGAUCGGCGUCCGCGCUACAGCGGCCGCCGUCCCCUAAACCUAGUGGCAGUCCCGCCGCGGCCUCCCUUGCGUAGUACUACUCUCGCAGGCGGAACAGCAGCGUGGAAUCGCCGUAAAAACCCCAACUUUCUAAUGGUUGACCUCAGAUCAGGUAGGAAUACCCGCUGAACUUAA